UACAGAGGUCUCAAGCGUUGUUCGGAUUCAUUGGGCGUAAAGGGUGCGUAGGCGGCGCGGUAAGUCGGGUGUGAAAUCUCGGAGCUUAACUCCGAAACUGCAUUCGAUACUGCCGUGCUUGAGGACUGGAGAGGAGACUGGAAUUUACGGUGUAGCGGUGAAAUGCGUAGAUAUCGAGAGGAACACCGGUGGCGAAGGCGAGUCCUUAGACAUCUCCUGACGCUGAGGCACGAAAGCUAGGGGAGCAAACAGG
rnacentral:rRNA from 1 species